rnacentral:rRNA from 1 species
UACGAAGGGGAGCUAGCGUUGUUCGGAUUUACUGGGCGUAAAGCGCGCGUAGGCGGAUCGCUAAGUCAGGGGUGAAAAUCCCAGGGCUCAACCCUGGAACUGCCUUUGAUACUGACGAUCUGGAGAUCGGGAGAGGUUGGUGGAAUUCCGAGUGUAGAGGUGAAAUUCGUAGAUAUUCGGAGGAACACCAGAAGCGAAGGCAGCCAACUGGCCCGAUACUGACGCUGAGGCGCGAAAGCUAGGGGAGCAAACAGG